rnacentral:misc_RNA from 1 species
CCAAUAGCGUAUAUUAAAGUUGUUGCAGUUAAAAAGCUCGUAGUUGAAUUUCGGGAUCAAUUAAUUGGUCGUGCCUCUGGUACGUACUGAUUUUAUUGGUUUCUCCCUUCUGAAGAACCAUGAUGUCAUUAAUUUGGUGUCGUGGAGAAUCAGGACUGUUACUUUGAAAAAAUUAGAGUGUUUAAAGCAAGCUAACGCUUGAAUACAUUAGCAUGGAAUAAUGAAAUAGGACGUUUGAUCCUAUUUUGUUGGUUUCUAGGAUCGACGUAAUGAUUAAUAGGGAUAGUUGGGGGCAUUAGUAUUCAAUUGUCAGAGGUGAAAUUCUUGGAUUUAUUGAAGACUAACUACUGCGAAAGCAUUUGCCAAGGAUGUUUUCAUUAAUCAAGAACGAAAGUUAGGGGAUCGAAGACGAUCAGAUACCGUCGUAGUCUUAACCAUAAACUAUGCCGACUAGGGAUCGGAUGAUGUUAAUUUUUUAAUGACUCAUUCGGCGCCUUACA